UACGAAGGGGGCUAGCGUUGUUCGGAAUUACUGGGCGUAAAGCGCACGUAGGCGGAUACUUAAGUCAGGGGUGAAAUCCCGGGGCUCAACCCCGGAACUGCCUUUGAUACUGGGUAUCUCGAGUCCGGAAGAGGUGAGUGGAAUUCCGAGUGUAGAGGUGAAAUUCGUAGAUAUUAGGAAGAACACCGGUGGCGAAGGCGGCGACCUGGUCCGAUACUGACGCUGAGGCGCGAAAGCGUGGGGAGCAAACAGG
rnacentral:rRNA from 1 species